rnacentral:rRNA from 1 species
AGCGAACGCUGGCGGCAGGCUUAACACAUGCAAGUCGAGCGGGCGUAGCAAUACGUCAGCGGCAGACGGGUGAGUAACGCGUGGGAACGUACCUUUUGGUUCGGAACAACACAGGGGAAACUUGUACCUAAAUACCGGGAUAAAGCCCCUUACGGGGGAAAGAUUUAUCGCCCGAAAGAUCGGCCCGCGUCUGAGUUAGCUAGUUGGUGAGGUAACGGCUCACCAAGG